rnacentral:rRNA from 1 species
CCUACGGGUGGCAGCAGUGAGGAAUAUUGGUCAAUGGGCGCGAGCCUGAACCAGCCAAGUAGCGUGAAGGAUGACUGCCCUACGGGUUGUAAUCUUCUUUUAUAAAGGAAUAAAGUGAGGCACGUGUGCCUUUUUGUAUGUACUUUAUGAAUAAGGAUCGGCUAACGCCGUGCCAGCAGCCGCGGGAAUACGGAGGAUCCGAGCGUUAACCGGAUUGAUUGGGUUUAACGGGAGCGUAGAUGGGUUGUUAAGUCAGUUGUGAACGUUUGCGGCUCAACCGUAAAAUUUCAAUUUAUACUGGCAGUCUUGAGUACAGUUGAGGUAGGCGGAAUUCGUGGUGUAGCGGUUACAUGCUUAGAUAUCACGAAGAACUCCGAUUGCGAAGGCAGCUUACUAAACUGCCACUGACAUUGAUGCUCGAAAGUGUGGGUAUCAAACAGGAUUAGAUACCCCUGUAGUC